GUUAAGCGACUAAGCGUACACGGUGGAUGCCCUGGCAGUCAGAGGCGAUGAAGGACGUGCUAAUCUGCGAUAAGCGUCGGUAAGGUGAUAUGAACCGUUAUAACCGGCGAUUUCCGAAUGGGGAAACCCAGUGUGUUUCGACACACUAUCAUUAACUGAAUCCAUAGGUUAAUGAGGCGAACCGGGGGAACUGAAACAUCUAAGUACCCCGAGGAAAAGAAAUCAACCGAGAUUCCCCCAGUAGCGGCGAGCGAACGGGGAGCAGCCCA
rnacentral:rRNA from 1 species